GCAAUCGACCAUAGGAUAUGGAAAACAGUGCUUCCCGUUUGCUCAGCCACACUUAAGCCAUAUACCGGCCAGUAAGUACCAAGGUCGGUGAUGACUUGGGAAUCCUGGCUGUCGAUUGUU
rfam:Capronia semiimmersa strain CBS 27337 unplaced genomic scaffold supercont1.3, whole genome shotgun sequence.